CUCCAGUCGCCGGCGUAGCGGUUGCUCGGAGGGCUCUCGGGGCCGCCUCGGCCGCGGGGCCGAGUCACUACUUCGGGGCCCGCCAAGGGCAAGUUCAGCGGCGGCUGGCGUUUGGGCCGCAGGCCGCCCGACCUGCUUGUUGCCGAUGGCACCUGUAGAAUCAUGUUCGGCUUGGGUCCAGAGCCUGGUCAGCUAAGAAGCCUGGAUCUUAGAAGAAGGAAUCGGGGAUGUGAAUGUUUGCAACGAUGUGCUGGAAAACAUUUAACAACCGGCUUGCUGUAAACGAAGAAGCAAACAACAAAAAGCAAAAGAAGUCCUGAUUUGUAGUGUGUGCCAACAUCCAUGGUGUAAAUACUCCCAGGGUGGCUGAUGCCACUUUCAUGGCAUCACUGAAGGUGGAGUUGGGAAGAGCUGGCUGCAGCACACCACUGAGUGUCUCAGAGGGAGUCCUAAGAGGGUCCAACCCCAUGUGCCCAGCACUGAAAAGGGUAUUUCCCGAGGCAGCCUUUCUUCGGGAAAGCAGGUGGGUCCAGACAGUCCAGUCCCUGGGGGCGAGGGCCAGCUUUGAACAUUUCACUCAAAGCCAUAGUAGGUGUACAAGAAGGAAGAGCUGGGUGGAUGAAUGCACUGCCGUGAUGGCAGAGAUGGUUCCUCAUCAGUUCCUCCUUUAAUCCAUCAAUGACGAGACUUCAGAAUGUCCUGGCUCCUCUGAUGAGACACAUAUUUACACAGUGUCAGUGUGUGAGAGAAGGAUGUGUCACUACACAUUUUUUGGACCAACUAUUUGCUAAUUAAUUAACUCACGAGUUAAAUUAAUUAUAUUCAUCAGAGCUAUCUGACAAUUAGUUAGCUGGAGAAGGACAAUCUGGUGUGAAGGCUCCAUGGAGGGAUCCAUGUCUAAGAUGAUAAGGUUGCAGGUUGGCUUCCCAGAGGAGCUGGUGUUUCAUUUGAGACCUGAGGAAUGAGGAGGGGCUUUCCAGGUGGGCACGUGGGGAAGGCAGCCCAUGUAGAGGAAUCCCAGUGUGGGCAAUAGCAGAGGUGAAGGAGAGAGCUUGGUGCCUUCAAGGUACCAUGCCUGCUGCCGUGUAGCUGGAAAAUAAAGUGUAAGGGAUGGUGGUGGUGAGAGGUGAGCCCAGGUAGUGAAAGGUGAGUCUAGGAAGGGGUCAGAUCAUGAAGGGACUUGAAGCUACUGUACGAGUCUGGGUUUGGCUGGGUUGUAGGGAGAACGACCAUUCUGAUUUUCCUAGGGCUGAUGGAUUUCCCAAGAUGCAGAAAUUUCAGUGCCAAAAAACCAGGAGAAGUCUCAGGUAAAGCAAAAUGAGUUGGUCCUCUAUCCAAUAGGAAAUGGGGAGCCACUGAGGAAUUCUGAGCUAGGGAGUGAUACGAUAACCAUUGGUUGUUAGAAGAUAAUCGGAUCUCAGGUAAAAUGAAGAUCCUGCAGGAAGCCGUCUCUGAACUCUCCCUGGACCAGGUCAGAUCCCAAUUUCCAGGGCUCCCUGCAGUUCUCUUGGGCAAUCACGUUGCUCUUAUAAUGCUGGUUUGAUGUCUGCCUUCCCCAAAGGACAGCUAGCUGGUGAGACCAUGAGCCACACAUGUUGUGUUUACCUAGCACACAGCAUGGCUCAUGGAAAAUGUUCAAUAAAGGUCUGUGGAUGGGGAGCAAAUGCCUGGCAUUGUCAGAAUUGAUACUCGUGCUCCCUAAUUUUUCAAGUAUAAACUGGGAAUAAUGCCACCUUCCCCAUCGAGACUAUAGUAUGAAAUCAUCUGACACAGGACUUGGGGCGGGGAGCUGAAGAAUAAAUGCUCAAGACGUAUUAGUGGAGCACAAGCCAGAAGGGUAAGGCAGAAAAGGAUGAGCAAUCACUAGU